UAAGAACAUUUCAUUCAUGGCUUGCCAAUAAUAAAGCAAAUAAAAAUUUAAAACUGAAUGUUCAUUACAAUAAGUAACUUCAACUUCAAAUUGUUUCCAUUUCCUCUCCCUAGAGCAUAUCCGAGAUAGCUUGCAUUUUACUUAUAGAGAAUUAUCCCCUGGCAAUUUAUAUAAUUUGGAAGUCGUCAAAUGAUGUAGAUUUAGACCUUUCUGAGGUUCUGUUCUCUUUUGCCUUGCUGGUAGUUUGUCCUUAUGAAUCUUAGGAGUUCCCUCCUGAUUAUGGAAAACAGAAUGUGGGGGCUUAGAUUAUCUCUUGGUCUGUUUGGCUCUUGAUUGUCAUCUGCCACAAAUUAAAUAGACUCCGACAAAAGUUUGGAAAUCAAUGGAAAUUGGCCCAUGUUUUGAAAAUCAAAUGCGUAAUUCAGCCCUUGUUUUACAAAUAGGAAAUUUUUAUUUACUUACAAGUGAACUUCAUGAGAACCCAUUUAUAGCUAGAGUUUUGAUAAUCUCUUCUCCAUUCAGGAGCUUGAUCCACCCCCCUGGCUUAACAGAAUGCGAGAGUUGGGAUACCCGCCAGGAUAUUUAGGUAAUUACGUUGUGUUAUUUGUGGUUGUGCUGCUUUCUCUUGACUCGUAUUGUCAUUUUAACCUUUUCAAAAUCCUGUGCAUGUUCUGAAAAUAGUUUUUCAAAUCUUUUCAGAAUGGCCUACUAGAAAGAAAAAAAUCCUUUAAAACCAUUAUAAAAUAACAAAAAAAAGGAAGGAAAGAAAUUCACUAUUAUCUGAAGUGUUUUGUUCACUAUUUAAUAGCAAUAAAAAAUGUGUUUAUCAUCCUUUUAGAUCCGGAAGAUGAGGAUCAGCCAUCAGGGAUUACAAUAUAUGCUGAUGAGAAGACUGAUGAACAGGAAGAUGGGGAAAUUACCGAGGCAGAGUACCGUAAACCACGAAAGAAAAAGAGUGUUGAAUUUCCUGGCAUCAAUGCUCCCAUCCCAGAAAAUGCAGAUGAAAGACUUUGGGCUCCUGAACCUUCAAAUUCGGGUCUCUCUAGAAAUCGGUCGAACCAGCGCUUGAACCAUUACCCAGA
rnacentral:lncRNA from 1 species